rnacentral:rRNA from 1 species
GACGGACGCUGGCGGCGUGCUUAACACAUGCAAGUCGAACGAAGCUUGAUUACGGAUUCUUCGGAUGAAGUAUGAUAUGACUGAGUGGCGGACGGGUGAGUAACGCGUGAGUAACCUGCCCUUCAGAGGGGGAUAGCGUUUGGAAACGAACGGUAAUACCGCAUAAUGUAUUUUGACCGCAUGAUCGAAAUACCAAAGAUUUAUCGCUGAAGGAUGGACUCGCGUCUGAUUAGGUAGUUGGUGGGGUAACGGCCUACCAAGCCGACGAUCAGUAGCCGGACUGAGAGGUUGAGCGGCCACAUUGGGACUGAGACACGGCCCAGACUCCUACGGGAGGCAGCAGUGGGGAAUAUUGCACAAUGGGCGCAAGCCUGAUGCAGCAACGCCGCGUGAAGGAAGACGGUUUUCGGAUUGUAAACUUCUGUUCUUAGUGAAGAAUAAUGACGGUAGCUAAGGAGCAAGCCACGGCUAACUACGUG